UGGCUCUCUCAAUGGAGAAACCUGAAAAUGGCUGACAUCCUUUAAAGAAGACAGAUUCACACACACACACACACACACACACACACGCACACAUUCACGCGAUCUUUUUCACCCAUCCCCACGUCCCCACAUUAAGCUACCGUUUUAUCACUUCUUCCACCUACCAGGACAUCUCUUUUUUUUUUUUUUUUUUGAGACGGAGUUUUGCCCUUGUUGCCCAGGCUGGGGUGCAAUGGCACGAUCUCGGUUCACAGCAACUUCCGCCUCCCCAGUUCAAGCCAUUCUCCUGCCUCAGCCUACCAAGUAGCUGGGAUUAGGCAUGCACCACUAUACCUGGCUAAUUUUGUAUUUUUAGUAGAGACAGGGUUUCUCCACGUUGGUUAGGCUGGUUUCUCCACGUUGGUUAGAUGGGGUUUCUCCAUGUUGGUUGGGCUGAUCUCGAACUCCCGACCUCAGGUGAUCUGCCGCCUCGGCCUCCCAAAGUGCUGGUAUUACAGGCGUAAGCCACCACGCUGGCACAUCUCUCUUUUUUAAACUUUUAUUUUAGAUGCAAGGGGUACAUGUGCAAGUUCGUUACCUGGGUAUAUUGUGUGAUACUAAGGUCUGAGGUAUGAAUGAUCUUGUCACCCAGGUACUGAGCAUAGUACCUAAUAGUUUUUCAACCCUUGCCCUCUUCUCUUCCUCCCCCUCUGUUAGUCCCCAGUUUCUAUUGUUGCCAUCUUUGUGUCCAUGUGUAUUCAAUCUUGAUCUCCCACUUCUAAGUGAGGACAUGCAGUAUUCAGUGGUUUUGUUUCUGCAUCAGUUGGCUUAGGAUAACGGCCUCCGGCUGCAUCCCUGUUGCUGCAAAGGACAUGAGUUCAUCCUUUUUCAUGGCUGCAUAAUAUUCCAUGGUGUACACAUAUUAUAUUUUCUUUAUUCAAUCCCCCAUUGAUGGGCACUUAGAUUGAUUCCAUGUCUUUGCUAUUGUGAAUAGCACUGCAAUGAACAUGUGAAUGAAUGUGUCUUUUUGGUAGAAAGAUUUUCUUUCUUUUGGAUAUAUAGCCAAUAAUGGGAUAAUAGGAUUGCUGUUCUUUGAGAAAUCUCCAAACUGCUUUCCACAGGGGCUGAACUCAUUUAUACUCCCACCAACAGUGUAUAAGCAUUCCCUUUUCUUUGCAGCCUCUACAGCAUCUGUUGUUUUUUUUCACUUUUUAGUAGUAGCUAUUCUGACUGGUGUGAGAUGGUAUCUCAUUGUGGUUUUGAUUUGCAUUUCUUUGAUGGCUAGUGAUGUGGAGCAUUUUGUCAUAUGUUUGCUAGUUGCUUGUAUAUCUUCUUUUGAAAAGUGCAGGACAUCUCAAUAUUUACUUUAACUCAACUCUGUGUAUGUGUGUGUGUGUGUGUGUGUGUGUGUGUGUGUGUGUGCAGGUAGGGAGGAAAACAAGGACAGAAACCAGGAGGCCCAGCCCAGGAUUAAAAACACACCACAGCCUUUCCAAAAAGUCAGAGUCAUACAUGGAUCACUUGGAAAUAACUGAACUUGCAAAUCCAGUUUCCCAUGGACCUGCUGAGUUUAUGAGGAAAAGGUGGCUGUGGCCAUUACCAAGUUAUUAAAACCACAGAGAUCUUGACUUGUAUGCACUGAGAUGAGGCUUCCAUCAGCAUCUCGCAUAAAUAACAUAACACUGAUGCAGCAGAUGAACAUGGAAACAGUGACAUCCACAAGGUAAGACCUUUUCUUCUUUGCCUUGGGCUCAUCUAGACCCCUGUGGCAGGAGAUUCUGAAGCGUGGAACAUUACUGAUUCUGAAAUGAUACAAUUUAUGCCCUGACUAAGCAAGGUCCACCUUUGGUUAUAAACAUUGGAUCCAUCAUAAAGUUAUUAAGCCAAGAUCAUGUUUUUGGACCCUGAAGAAGACAAUAGGCUUGGAGGAGAAACAGACCUUGACCUCAAGACACAACGCAGAGGGAAAUAUAGCUGAUACAAAGCUUGAAGAUGAACAUCUAUGUACCCAUCAGGACAUUUUUAAAGGGACAAGUGGAAUGAGCGAAGACUUUGAAGACAGUCUUGUCUGCCAGGCACUCAGAUCAUCAGGAAGCAGAAAAGGAGAUGCAAGAUCAGGUUGAGGGGUAUUUUGUGCAGGAAUACACAUUCAGUGUUAUAAUGUAAUUGAAAAAGAGUCUAUUUCAGAGGCAUCAGCUUCACAGCCACCAUGGUUUAACCUCACCUGUGGUGUAAGAUGGACAGUGGGUAUGGGUGGCCCCUUCUAUGGGUGGGAAGCACAGUGAUGUGUUGGGCACCUGAACAGGGCUGCCAAGAUUUUCUAAAGCAUUCUGUGGACCAUUCUGUGAGCCCCUACAAGGGGUUCUGAGCUCCUUGCCCUGGGAUUUGAUCCAAUGGACCUAUCUAACUGGUAUCUCCAAUGUCAGAGGUGAGUGAGAGCUUCUGUUUGUUUGAACUCUGCCUGACCUCAGUCUCAGUGCUUAUUUUGAACCAGGAACUAAAUGUAGAGGAAAAGUAUGAGGACAAAGUGCACAAUUAUUUUCUCUUGGACAGAUCUUCGACGUCCUGCUUUUCCCUGGGGAGCACUUUCCCUGGAUGCAGGUAGACACAACUUCUUUCUCCUAAUAUGCCCACCCUGGACUCUCCCCUCGCCCUGGUCUUUUCUCAUGAUUUUGGGAAAGUUCCAGACAGUCUCUCUGACUUGCAGCAGGAAAAACACAGUGCAAUAUAAUAUAUUGUGUAUAUUUAGCAUGACAUGUAAAUAUUUUAUAGAAGCUAAAGUAAAUAAUAUAUAUAUUUGUAAUGUCAGUGUAAAUAUUUGAUAGGCUGCAGUAGGAAUCCAGUAUGUUUGGAGCUGGGCACAGCACCAGUGGGAGGAAGGGACAAGGUCAAAUCAGAGGGCAACCUGUUCAUGACGUAUCUGAAAACAUCUCUUUUUCUCCUUCUGCCUAGCUGCUGCUUUGAACGCUUGACUCUCAACAUUCAAAUAUUCUCACGUGAAUUAUCCACAGCAAUUCAAGACCAAGCCCUAUAGCUUUAGAGGCUGCUGGAAAGAGAGCAGCAUGUAAGAUCCUAAAUAACUGGCUGAAUUAUAUUUAUUCAUUUGUUGA